rnacentral:rRNA from 1 species
UCGCGGGCAGCAGCUAAGAGUAUUCCGCAAUGGACGAAAGUCUGACGGAGCGACGCCGCGUGGAUGACGAAGGCCGAAAGGUUGUAAAGUCCUUUUGUUGGGGAAGAAUAACCAUGGGAGGGAAUGCCCGUGGGAUGACAUGAACCGACGAAUAAGCCCCGGCUAACUACGUGCCAGCAGCCGCGGUAACACGUAGGGGGCGAGCGUUGUUCGGAAUUACUGGGCGUAAAGGGCAUGUAGGCGGCUUUGUAAGCCCGGCGUGGAAGCCCACGGCUCAACCGUGGGAUUGCGUUGGGAACUGCAAGGCUUGAAUCAUGGAGAGGGAGCUAGAAUUCCUGGUGUAGGGGUGAAAUCUGUAGAGAUCAGGAAGAAUACCAGUGGCGAAGGCGAGCUCCUGGCCAAUGAUUGACGCUGAGGUGCGAAAGUGUGGGGAUCAAACAGGAUUAGAUACCCUGGUAGUCCACACUGUAAACGAUGUGCACUAGGUGCUGGGGCGGAUGCUUCAGUGCCGGAGCUAACGCGGUAAGUGCACCGCCUGGGGAGUAUGCUCGCAAGGGUGAAACUCCAAAGGAAUUGACGG